rnacentral:rRNA from 2 species
UACGUAGGGUGCGAGCGUUGUCCGGAAUUAUUGGGCGUAAAGAGCUCGUAGGCGGUCUGUCGCGUCGGUCGUGAAAACCUGCAGCUUAACUGUGGGCUUGCGGUCGAUACGGGCAUGACUGGAGUUCGGCAGGGGAGACUGGAAUUCCUGGUGUAGCGGUGAAAUGCGCAGAUAUCAGGAGGAACACCGGUGGCGAAGGCGGGUCUCUGGGCCGAUACUGACGCUGAGGAGCGAAAGCGUGGGGAGCGAACAGG